rnacentral:rRNA from 1 species
AGAGGAAGGAGAAGUCGUAACAAGGUUUCCGUAGGUGAACCUGCGGAAGGAUCAUUGUGGAAAUCGAACGGAAGAAUGACCCGCGAAUCGUCGUUGCGUACCGGAGAGGGCUCGCGAGCGCCUGACGCUCGUGCGGCUCGCGUCGUGUCGGCGCGGAUGGUACUCGAGACCAGCGUCGUAUCGAUGAACAAACAACGUCAGCACGGAUCGUGCCAAGGAGCAGCAUGGAGGGAAUCGUUGUCCCCGGCCUCCGACCGUCUUCGACGAGGGGCGGGAGGCGGGGGGACAUACGCAAUCUCUACUCGAGUCUAAAGGACUCUCGGCAACGGAUAUCUCGGCUCUUGCAUCGAUGAAGAACGUAGCGAAAUGCGAUACUUGGUGUGAAUUGCAGAAUCCCGCGAACCAUCAAUUCUUUGAACGCAAGUUGCGCCCGAAGCCCUCGGGCGAGGGCACGCCUGCCUGGGCGUCGUGAAUCCCCUUGCCCCUCGGCACCCGUGUUCAUGCAUGCGCAUCGACGGGGAUAUGCUCGGGCGCAGAGUAUGGUCUCCCGUGGGAUCGGCGUGCACGGCAUGUCGAGGUGCGGUUGGCCGAAAAUCGAGCAUGGCGGUGACGGGCACCCCGGCGUUCGGUGGAUCGAAUGAGAUUGGCUGCGCCGUGGUCUCGGCAUGCUGCGGGCUCCGGACUUUGACAUCCCCGAGUGCGAUCCCAGGUCAGGCGGGACUA